rnacentral:rRNA from 1 species
GAUAAACGCUGGCGGCGUGCCUAAUACAUGCAAGUCGAACGAAGAGAGCUAGCUUGCUAGAGCUCUUAGUGGCGAACGGGUGAGUAAUACAUAAGCAACCUACCUGCAGGGACCGGGAUAACGCUUGGAAACGAGUGCUAAAACCGGAUAGGUAAUAACGGGGCAUCCCGAUAUUAUUAAAGGAGAGAAACACAAGCAGAUGGGCUUAUGGUGCAUUAGUUAGUUGGUGAGGUAACGGCCCACCAAGACGAUGAUGCAUAGCCGGCCUGAGAGGGUGAACGGCCACAUUGGGACUGAGACACGGCCCAGACUCCUACGGGAGGCAGCAGUAGGGAAUUUCGGCAAUGGGCGAAAGCCUGACGGAGCAACGCCGCGUGAGUGAAGAAGGCCUUCGGGUCGUAAAGCUCUGUUGUC